rnacentral:lncRNA from 1 species
GAGCGGAGGAAGGGGAAGGCGGUGGUCGUCGUUCGAGUGGCCUCCUCAGGGUCAGAGUUGAGAAGGGGUGGUGGCUGCUCCUGCCUCCUCCGGAUCCUAGGGCCUGGACCAGCUUGUUCUGAUGCACUGGGUCGCGGUAGCAGAUAAACCAUGGGAACAGCUCUCCUUCCCUCUGCCUUUGAAUUUGUGUGGGGGGCCAGUGUGAGCAGUGAGUGCCCUCACCGGAUGCCCAGGUCCCAGAUGGGUCGCGUUGCACUGGCUCCUCCAAUGUGACUGUCAGUCUUGGAUAGUGAACGGAGCCUCCUGUGUGGACGGAAGCCCAAGAGGGUUGGACCAACCUCCAGCCCAGCCCUGGGUCCAGGUUGAGGUGGGUUUCAUCAUUAAAUGCUUCCUGCAGGAAUCACUCAGGGGCCCUAGAGUUUCAGAAGCUGCCUCCUGAAAGCGGCUGAACCCUGGAGUCCAGGCCUCCUUUGGGCCAGAACAAGGGGCUCACUGACCCAGAUCUCUCCCCACAUCUUUUUUUUUUUGAGACAAAGUCUCACUCUUUUGCCCAGGCUAGAGUGCAGUGGCAUGAUCUUCACUCAUUCCUGGGCUCAAGGGAUCCUCCCACCUCAGCCUCCCAAGUAGUUGGGACCACAGGCAUGCAUCACCAGGCCUGGCUAAUUUUUGUACUUUUUGUAGAGAUGGAGUUUCACCAUGCUGCCCAGGCUGGUCUCUAACUCCUGGGCUCAAGCAGUCUGCCCACCUCAGCCUCAAAGUGUUAGGAUUACAGGCAUGAGCCACCUCGCCCAGCCUUCUCAGAUGCCCUUAUCAGUAGAGGGAGGGGCAAAGAAGAAAUCUCACUCAUUCACAAAUCGCACAAAAAAUGUUUGUCACCUUAAGAGGGACAGACAGUGCAGGGUCUCCUAUGUGGGUUCUGAGGUCAUUCGGUCUAUGUUCAAAUCCAGCCCCUCCACUUAUGACCUGGGGCCCUUGGGGCAAGUUUCUUAAUUCUUCUGAGGUCUAUAAAAGUGGACCAUACAAGGUGCAGUAGGAAGAGAUCACCAUCCACAGUCGGGCUGAGGCUGAAAGCACGUACCAGAUCAAGUAUGAGGAGCUGCAGACGCUGGCUGGGAAGCAUGGGGAUGACCUGCGUUGUGCAAAGACAGAUCUCCGAGAUGAACCAGAACAUCAGCAGGCUCCAGGCUGAGACUGAGGGCCUCAAAGGCCAGGGGGCUUCCCUGGAGGCCGCCAUCGCAGAUGCCGAGCAGUGGGGGGAGCUGGCCAUUAAAGAUGCCAACACCAAGCUGUCUGAGCUGGAGGCCGCCAUGCAGCGGGCCAAGCAGGACAUGGCACGCAGCUGGGUGAGUACCAGAAGCUGGCCCUGGACAUCGAGAUCGCCACCUACAGGAAGCUGCUGGAGGGCGAGGAGAGCCGUCUGGAGUCUGGGAUGCAGAACGUGAGUAUCCAUAAGAAGACCACCAGUGGCUAUGCAGGUGGUCUGAGCUCAGCCUAUGGGGGCCUCACAAGCCCUUGGCCUCAGCUACAGCCUGGGCUCCAGCUUUGGCUCUGGCGCCGGCUCCAGCUCCUUCAGCUGCACCAGCUCCACCAGGGCCAUGGUUGGGGAGAUCGAGACCCACAAUGGGAAAUGGGAAGCUGGUGUCCGAGUCCUCUGACGUCCUGCCCAAGUGAAUAGCUGUGGCAGCCCCUCCCAGCCUGCCCCUUCUGUGGCUGCCCCAGAGUCCGGGAGGGAGGCCACUGUGCAGGGGAGCACAGGGAAUGGGAGACCCACCUGAGGCUCAGCCCUAGCCCUCAGCCCACCUGCAGGGGAGUUUACUGCGUGGGACACCUCCUUUGCCCAUAUCUCCAGCUACAAAACAAUUCCGUUUUUUCCCCCCAAAAUAAAACUUCAGCUAGUUCUACCAACUGGCAAAAAAAAAAAAAAAAAAUGGACUAUCAUCAUAAGGUUGUAAGAUUUUAUUUAAUCAUGCAAUGCUCAACAAUGCUUGUAUAUCACAUGUGCAUGGUGUUCAUAAAUGUUAAUUGUUAACAAAUUAUACUGUCAUCAUUAUUUUUACAGAGCAGGAGGAAAGCUUUGCCUGACCCGUGCCAUUAGCAUUUUUUUUCUCAUUAGAACAUUUUUCAUUAAAGGGCCAGGGUGGUACUAUCAUUUCUUUUUGUUUGGUUUCUGAAACCCAAAUUUAUAUCUGUGCUUUCCUCUCAGAUACUGUGCUCAUACCCACUGCUACUCAGACUGUUCCUGGGGGUGGUUUGAUUUGCUUCCUAGGGUCAUAAAGACCGACAGCAUAUUAGGCACUGGUCCCCUUUUCUGGUCCUGUUGCAGGCCACUUUAAUUUUCUGAAGCUCUGAAUAUUAAUUCUGGGCCAGGUUCCAUGCUGGCCCCAAGUCCUGACCGUGCUUUCUGGGAGCUGUACUCUGGCUACUCAUUCCACACCCCAUGGUCUCCCCAAAGCUCCAGAGACUCUAUGGAGAGUCAAUUCUGCUUUUCAAGGGCUUUGAGGAAAAUGUUCAAUAAGAUUAUUAAACCACAUGAGCAGAUACUAUUUGAGAAACUGUAGCCUACACAGUACUGGGCUAGGUGGUGGGAACACAAAAAGGUGUGAGGUAGGGCUCCAGCCUUCAAAGAAUGUACAGCAUAGGUGGCAGAGAUAUGAAAAAUAGUGAGAAAUAGCAAUAAAAUGAUGUGUCCUAGGGCCAGUUACAGAUAAUGGGAUUUGAUGACUCGGCUAAUCCUGCCCGCCCCCCUCCACCUUCCACCAUCACAGCUAAUCCAUCUCCAGCUUGUCCUAAAUUCAUAUGCACACAGAGUUAGAAUCCAUUUUUUUUUUUUUUUUUUGAGACGUAGUUUCGCUCUUGUUGGCCAGGCUGGAAUGCUAUGGCGUGAUCUCGGCUCACCGCAACCUCCACUUCCCAGGUUCUAGCGAUUCUCCUGCCUCGGCCUCCCGAGUAGCUGGGAUUACAGGUAUGUGCCACCAUGCCUGGCUAACUUAUUGUAUUUUUAGUAGAGAUGGGGUUUCACCGUGUUAGCCAGGAUGGUCUCGAUCUUCCGACCUCAGGUGAUCUGCCUGCCUUGGCCUCCCAAAGUGUUGGGAUUACAGACGUGAGCCACCGUGUCCGGCCAGAAUUCAUUUUUAACUGGGGUCUGGCUCCUGCACCUGGAACUGUGUUUGCUCCAGUGCAUGGCCUUCCUUGUCCAACCCCAGGCUGUGAUGAUAAGCACUGUUCCCAAGGUAGAACCAGGCCUCAGCAACCCCCUGCUCACAGUGACAAAGGGUCCUACCCCCUCUGCAUGAUAAGGGUUAUGAGUAACUUCUGUGUGAAGAUCGUGGUAGGUCUGCUUACUGCUCCGACGUCUUAGACAGGGGCCUUUUGUUGACUUCCUAUUUGUCCAGAAUUGGGGGCGGGUGGGGGAUGGGCUUCAAAGCAGGUUCAUUAAUUUACACUUGCCUCUGUCUGGUUCCUAAAUAUAAAGACAAUUCUUUAUGUUGACCUCCUUUGAGUAAAAAGACAUUCCUAAUUUAUAAGCUAGAGCCCCACAUAUACUUGCUUUUGAGUAGGGAGCAGAGGCGGGUAAGGUCGUCCACUAGAUUACUGGGUCCUAAACUACUCUGCCCAGCAGAACCACCUGGGGAAUUUUGUAAACAUAUAAUUUCCGGGCUCUACCUCAGACCUAUGGAAUCAUAAUUUCUUUUUUUUUUUUUUUAGGCGGAGUUUCAUUCUUGUUGCCCAGGCUGGAGUGCAAUGGCAUGAUCUUGGCUCACCACAACCUCUGCCUCCCGGGUUCAAGCGAUUCUCCUGCCUCAGCCUCCCAAGUAGCUGGGAUUACUGGCGCAGGCCACCAUGCCCAGCUUAUUUUGUAUUUUUAAUAGAGACAGGGUUUCUCCAUUUUGGUCAGGCUGGUCUUGAACUCCUGACCUCGUGAUCAACCCGCCUCAGCCUCCCAAAGUGCUGGAAUUACAGGCGUGAGCCACCACGCCUGGCCUGGAAUCAUAAUUUCUUUGAGUGGGCUCAAGAUGAAAUCCCUGUAAGAAAAAAAUUAAAAGGGAGGAGAAAACUCUAGGAAAUGGCUGGGUCCCACCUGUUCUUUCUGGAGAGCACCACUGUUGUCUCUCUGGCCAAGCCUCCCGCCCCACCACUCCAUGGUAGGAAUACCCUAACUUCCUCCUGGGAAACCACUUCUCCCACAUUCUCAAUCCAUGUGGCUUACAUGGGGCUAAGCCCUCCACAAGACAUAGAUUAAAGACAUAGACUUUGCCAGCUCCCAUCCUAGUGACAAGGGUUCAGGGAGGGGCUGGUAACCCAAAUCAGGCCAAUGAGACUCAAUUCUUGGAGUUUUAGAGAAACUGUUGGGAAAGAGAGGCUUUCCUUCCUCUGAGGUUGUCAAGCUGGUGGAAUGAAAGCCUUGAUCUGCUGGUGACUCUCUUGUCCCCACAUGGAGAAAGGCCACCUGAAGUCAUGCACAGGAAAGCAGAGUCAACAGAUGGGGGGGACAGAUUCCUGACAUAAUUUUAGCCCCUAGAUCCAGCUAAACCUGAUACAGUUGUAUGACGCCAUAAAUCCACACUGCCCCCACCCCCUGACCUUUUUUCUAAUCUUAAGGUAAUUUGAGUUGCAAAUCUAAUUCUUGCAAGCAAAAAUAUCCUGAUGAAUGGAACUUCCUGCCUGGAGAUUUUCCUUGUGGAAAUUUGUAACUUCAGGGGCAUACAUGUUUGGUCUGAAUAAAUGAGGAAGGCAGUCCCUGAUAUCUGGUUGUCAGUUAAUGACAAAAUCUGGAAGAGGCACUGUGGACCACAACCCGGGUUCUGAUCCUCUCAAACCUCCCAGUCCAAACCAUAGCUGGUGUUUGGAGUUCAUCAGCUUCCAAGGACCCUUCCUUAAAGGAAAAGUCAUUUCCCUGAGGCCUGCACAAUUGUCAAGUCUUUCGGGGCUGCUGCAAGACUGCAUUCCUUAGGUAUCAGCUUCCUGCUCAAAUAAGAGAUUUGAUGCUUUACCGUCCAUCAUGCUUCUGAAUCACAUUUGUCCACAACAAGUGUAAUAGGCAGCUGUAGGCACACAGAGCCGCUUGUUAUCAUCAGGGCUAUUAGCACAGUGUCUCUGGAGAAAUGGGGACAGAGGUGGGUUUGAGCUUUAAGCUGCCUGAGUUCUUGUUGGCUAAGACUACAGGACCUCUUGUCUGGACUGCCUUUGGGGAGCUUUCUCAAAGGAGUGAUUGGGGCUCUGAUCAAACCACAAUUACCUGGUUACAGCAUGGUUCACACCUGCCUUUUAAAGAAACUCCAAGGCUAUUUUCAAGUAGUUUGUGUAUUAUUCUGCAAUGGGACAAUGUUUUUCUAUCCCACCUGGUGGAAUUCAAUGGGUAAUUGAACAUCCAGUCAUAAUUCAUCUUUUCAUUUUUUCCAUUCAUUCAUUUACUCGGUACAAAUUUGUACGAGGAACUGUCUUUUAACUUUUUUUUUUUAAUUAAAUCUGACUUUUAGACGAAUCCUAUUGCAGGUGGAAGGUUAUGCUGUCUUAGUUGGUAUGGAGACUUUGUUCUCCCUCCAAAGACUAUACAUUUCCAGAAAAUGGACAUUUCCAGAAAAUUUCCUAUUUUAAGGCCGAUUAAUAACUUUAAUUACAUCUGCAACAAUCUCUUUCACCAUAUAAUGUAACAUAAUUAUGGGAGUAUCAUGGGGCAAAAAAACCAUGGAGGCCAUCUUAGAAUUCCAGCUGUCACUGUAUCUAUCUCUUUACCUAUCAAUUAGGAGAAAAUUCUUCAUUUUGUUGUUGUUGUUUGUUUUUAGACGAAAUCUUGCUCUGUCACCCAGGCUGGAGUGCGGUGGCAUAAUGUCAGCUCACUGCAAGCUUUGCCUCCCGGGUUUAAGCGAUUAUCCUGCCUCAGCCUCCCAAGUAGCUGGGAUUACAGUAGCUCACCACCACACCCAGCUGAUUUUUGUAUUUUUAGUAAAGACGGGAUUUCACCAUUUUGUCCAGGCUGGUCUCAAACUCCUGACCUCAGUUGAUCCACCCGCCUUGGCCUCCCAAAGUUCUGGGAUUACAGGUGUGAGCCACUGUGCCCGGCCUGUUGUUGUUUUUGAGGCAGGGUCUCAAAAACCUGUUGCCCAGGCUGUAGUGCAGUGGUGCAAUCACGGCUCAUUGCAGCCUUGAUCUCCUGGACUCAAGCAAUCCUCCCGCCUCUGCCUCCAAGGUGCUGGGACCACAGAUGUGUGUGCCACCAUGCUUGGCUAAUUUUUUAAACUUUUGUAGAGAUGGGGUCUCUAUGUUGCCCAGCAUGGUCUUGAAUUUCUGGGCUCAGGCUAUCCUCCCACCUCGGCCUCCCAAAGUGCUGGGAUUACAAGCAUGAGCCACCACACCUGGCCAGUUGUUCAUACUUUAUGUAAGUGAGACCAUACUAUAUUAAUCUAAUACUUGCUUUUUUUUUUUUUGCUUUACAUUAAGUUUGUAAGAUUUAUUUUUGUUGAUAACCUUGUUGAUUUUUAUUUUUCCUGCUGCAUAACAUUUCACUGUAUGAGUGUAGUAAGUUUUACUUAUUUGUUCUCUUGGUGACGGAUAAUUAGUUUGCUUUCAGUUUUUUAUUAUUACAAACAAUUGUGUUAUAAAUAUUAUUUUAUAUGUCUAUGUCUCUGGUGCACAUGUACAAUCAUUUCUCUAGGAAUAUGCCCAGUGGAGUUGCUGGGUUAUUGGGUAUACAUAUUCAACUUUACUAGAUCUUGCUAAAUUGUUCUCCUAAGGUGUUGUACCAACUUACACCCUGCAAUGCAUACGAGUUUCUUUUUUCUUUCUUUCAUUUUUUUUUUUUUUUCGAGAUGGAGUUUUGCCCUUGUCAUUUGUCACCGAGGCUGGAUUGCAAUGGUGCUAUCUCGGCUCGCAGCAACCUCCUCCUCCCGGGUUCAAGAGAUUCUCCGGCCUCAGCCUCUGGAGUAGCUGGGAUUACAGGCGCGUGCCACUACACCCAGCUAAUUUUUUUAUAUUUUUAGUAGAGACGGGGUUUCCCCAUGUUGGCCAGGCUGGUCUGGAACUCCUGACCUCAGGUGAUCCACCCGCCUCAGCCUCCCAAAGUGCUGGAAUUACAGGCGGGAGCCACGGCGCCCAGCCUGUGCAUGCAAGUUUCUAUGGCUCCGUAUCUCCACCAACUUGUGAUAUUGUCAGGUUUAAAAUUUUGGUCAUUCUGAUAUAUGGGCAAUAAUUCACUUUAGUGAUAUAUAAAUUUUACUUAUUCAACAAAUAAAUAUUUAUCAAGUGCCUCUACAUGCCAGGCAGUGAACAAAAUAGACAAAGUCCCUGCCCUGUAGAGUCGGAAAGGCCAACAAAUAUAUAUUUUUAGAUACUGAUAUAAGUAUUAUAUAAAAGUAUUAAUAUUAUAAUUAAUAGUUAUAUAUAUUAAUCGCAUGUGGCUUUUCCACUGGCUUACAAGACCCAGAAUGAUCUUCCCUCUGCCCUUACCACUUCAACCCCACCCCUUACUCUGUCCCCACCACACUGGCCUCCCAUUUUGGCUUUGCACUGGCUGUCUUUGUCUACUUGGAACACCCUCUCCCAGUUACAGACAAGGCUUACUUCCUCACCUCAUGCAACUCUUUGGUCAAAAGCCAUCAUCUUAAUGAGGUCUACCCUAAUCAGUCUGCUGUGGACUAUUCGUGGCCCCCAAAAUUCAUUUGUUGAGGCCUAACACCCAAUGUGAUGAUAUCUGAACACCCAAUGUGAUGAUAUUUGGGGCCUUUAGGGGGUAAUUAGGUUUAGAUGAGGUCCUGAGGGUGGGGCCCUCUGAUGGGUUUAGUGUCCCAAGAGAGCUUGCUGUCUGUCUGCCAGGUGAGUACACACAAAGCAGGCAAGCCUGGAAGAGAUCCCCCACCAGAAUCCUGCCAUCCUGGCAUCCUGACCUCAGACUUCCAGCCUCCACAACUGUAAGAAAUAAAUGUAUGUCGUUUCAGCUACCCAGUCGAUAGUAUUUUGUUGUGGCAGCCUGAGCUAACUAAGACACAAAUUGCAUCCUGCCCCUGGCCCUGCCAGUCUCUCAUCUCAAUCUCCUGUCCCCUGCUCCAUUUUUUUCUCUGGAAUUUGUGAUCUGCUAAACUACUAGAUAAUUUUAUUCAUUUAUUAUGUUUGUUUCACCACAUACAUACUAGAAUAUGAGAUCCAGAAUAUUUGUCUUUUUUGUUCAUAAAUGUAUUCUAAGUGCCUAGAAUUCAGUGAAUACUUGCUGAAGGAAUAAAUGCUGUGGAGGAGGCAGCAUUCUAUUUCAUAUAGCAUCUGGGAAGGCCUCUUUGAUAAGGUAGACAUUUCCCAACUGUUACUGGAAUUGAGCUUUUUUUUUUUUUUUUUUUUUUUUUUUUGGACAGAGUUUCACUCUUGUUGCCCAGGCUGGAGUACAAUGGCGCAAUCUCAGCUCACCACAACCUCCACUUCUUGGGUUCAAGCAAUUCUCCUGACUCAGCCUCCCAAGUAGCUGGGAUUACAGGCAUGCACCACCAUGCCUGGCUAAUUUUGUAUUUUUAGUAGAGAUGGGGUUUCUCCAUGUUGGUCAGGCUGGUCUUGAACUAUGACCUCAGGUGAUUCACCUGCCUCGGCCACCCGAAGUGCUGGGAUUACAGGCGUGAAUCACCUCGCCCGGCUGGUAUUGAGCAUCUUUUUGUGGUAUUUCUUCCUUUUGUGACCAUCUAGGAUUUCCUCUUCUAUUAACUACCUGUUCAUCUCUUUUGCUUUUUUUUUUUUUUUUUUUUGAGACAGAGUCUCGCUCUAUUGCCCAGGCUGGAGUGCAGUGGCGCGAUCUCCGCUCACUGCAAGCUCCGCCUCCCAGGUUCAUGCCAUUCUCCUGCCUCAGCCUCCCCGAGUAGCUGGGACUACAGGCACCCACCACAACACCCGGCUAAUUUUUUGUAUUUUUAGUAGAGCCAGGGUUUCACCGUGUUAGCCAGGAUGGUCUUGAUCUCCUGACCUCGUAAUCCGCACACCUUGGCCUCCCAAAGUGCUGGGAUUACAGGCGUGACCCACCACGCCCAGCUCUCUUGCUUAUUUUCUAUUGAUUGGUUUAUCUUCUCUUUUAAUUUGUAGAUUUUUUUAAAAUAAAUCUUGAAUGCCAGUCCCUUGUUAAUUACAUGUAGUUUAUAUCUUCUCCUAGGCUACAUGUUACUUUUUUAAAAAAUGGUGUCUUUUUGCCUGUAAUCCCAGCACUUUGGGAGGCCAAGACGGGCAGAUCACCUGAGGUUGGGAGUUCGAGACCAGCCUGACCAACAUGGAGAAACCCCGUCUUUACUAAAAUACAAAAUUAGCUGGGCAUGGUGGCACAUGCCUGUAAUCCCAGCUACUCAGGAGGCUGAGGCAGAAGAAUUGCUUGAACCUGGGAGGCAGAGGUUGCCGUAAGCUGAGAUCACGCCAUUAUACUCCAGCCUGGGCAACAAGAGUGAAAUUCUGUCUCCAAAAAAAAAAAAAAAAAAAAAGAGUGUCUUUUGAUGAGUGGAAGUUUUUUAUGUGUUAUGUAUCUUUUCCUUUAAGGUUUGCAUAUCUAAUUUUAGAAGUCCUUCCCUCAUUUGAAAUCAAUAUUCUCCUAAACCUAGAACUUUAAAAGGUUUUUAAAAGUUUUAAGGCUUACAUUUGUUUAUUGAAGCUAUGUGUUUUUAUUUGGGUGUGAAUUAGGGAUUUUUUUUCUUCUUAAACAAUGGAAAGCCUCUUUUCCCAGCACCAUUUAUGGAUUAGCCCUUUUUCCCACUGAUUUUCAGUGCCACCUCUCUCAUGAAUACAUUUUCCACAUUUGUGUGGUCUAUUUCUGAGCUCUUUUCUCUUAGACUUGUCUAUUUAUCUAAUCAGUACAGAACUGUUUACUAAGGCUGGGAACCCCAAGGGGCCAAGUCUGGUCUGGGUGACUCUUUGUGUAGCCUUCUUCCUAGAUAAGAGCCACACUCACUCUCUCUCUCUCUCUUUUUUCUUUUUUGAGACAGUCUUGCUGAGGCUGGAAUGCAGUGGUGUGAUAAUGGCUCACUACAGCCUCAACCUCCUGGACUCAAGUGAUCCUCCCACCUCAGCCUCCUGUGCAGCUGGGACCACAGGCAUACACCACCAUGCCCAGCUAAUUUAGAGCCACUCUCCUGAUGCUCAUUAGCAAGCCAGCCUCUGGCCCCUCCUAGGCUUGGUGAUAUCACCCCUCACCUGUCGCAGCUCCUGCCUCUCUCUUCCCAAAAACCUCUGCAGCUUUCACUUCCCCAGCAUGAUCUUAGUUUAGGCUUUCACAAAAGACUGGAAGAGCAGUGGCCUGGAAGCAACAUCUGAAAUAUCAACUUUUUUGUGACCAGAGACACCAAGGGGGAUUGGCAAGAGGAAAAGAUGGAGUCGGAGGCUCCAGGCUCAGUCCUUGGAGCUCUUCUCUCUGUAUCCUCUUUCUAGGUGAAAUUCACCCAUAUGUUGAUGACAUUCAAAUUUACGUCUCCAACCUGGAUCUCUCUUUUAAACACCAGACCUACUUGAGAUCUCCACUUGGAUGUAUUAUAGGCAUUUCAACAUGGCCAAAACCAACUCCUGAUACUCCCUCCCCACUUGCUCCUGCUGCUGCUCCCAUCUCCGUUAACAGUAAUUCUAGUUUACUAAAUCUCAGAUGAAUGUUUUGGAGUUAUCUUUGACUCCUCUUUUUAUUUCACGCCCAUAUUUAAUGCAUCAGCAAAUCUGGAUGGUUCUGCCUGCAAAAUAUAUCCAGAAUUCAACCACUGCUCACUACCUCCUUUGCCUCCACCCUGGCCCAAGCCACCACUAUCUCUUGCUUGGUUUAUUGCAAUAGCCCCCUAACGGUUCUUCCUACUUCUUCCCUACCUGCAGUGCUUUCUCAAAAUGGUAGAUAGAGUGGUCCUGUUAAAAUGAAAGCCAGAUCAUGUCACUCUUCUGUUUAACACCCUCCAACGGCUCCCAUCUCUGGUAGAGGAAAAUCCCAAGUCUUUACUAUGACCUACAAGGGCCUAUUGGUAGAUUAAAGAUAGUCACAAAUUAUUUGACACUCUUCCCAUUGAAAGGUAUAUUGCUAUCUCCCUUUCCAUGACUUCUUUGACCAAUGAAAUAUGGCAGAAGUGGCCAGUCGCGGUAGCUCAUGUCUGUAAUUCCAGCAUUUUGGGAGGCCAAGGCAGGUGGAUCCCUGAGGUCAGGAGUUCGAGACCAGCCUGGCCAACGUGGUGAAACCCCGUCUCUACUAGAAAUAUGGCAGAAGUGCCACUGUGUCUGUUUCUGUGUCCAGGCCUUAGAAGACUGGCAUUUUCUAUUUCCUGUCUCUUGAAACACUUGCUCUUGGAACCUUCAGACACCAUGUAAGAAAUCCAGCUAUUCUAAUAGAGACCACAUGGAGAGGCCCUGAGACUACAUGGAGAGGAAGAGGGGCCUAGCUGAACCCAGCCUUCCAGCUAUCUCCCCCAGGCACCAAACAUGAGAGUGAAACCACGUGGAAUCCUACAGACCAACCCAUCUGCCAGUGAACAUCAGAGUGACCUUAUUUGAUGCUAGUAGAGCAGAAAAAAAUGCCCAGUUGAAUUUUGUCCAAAUUCCUGAUCCACCAAUUGUGAGAUACAAAAAGGUGGUUGUUUUAAGCCACAAAACUUGAGAUAGUUUCUCAUGCAGAAAUAGAGAACCAAACCAGCUAAUCCGACCUUGCCCCCUUCCAUCAUCUUCAUGACCUCAUUUACUGCCUUUUUUUUCCCUCAUGCCUCUCUAGUCAUCGCUGCUUCCUUGCAGUUCCUCAAAUCCUCCAGACCAGCUUCUGCCCAGGACUUUUGCAUGUGCUGUUCCCAGUGUACAUUCUUCCACCUGCACAUAAAUAAAGCAGUGUAAACUGUAAUUACUGUUUUGAGCCCUACUUUUUUCAGUUUAUAUAAAUCUUUCUGUUGGAAUAGUCUACUAAAACAUUUUUUUUUGAGACAGUGUCUUGCUCUGUUGCCCAGGCUGGAGUACAGUGACACAAUCAUGGCUCACUGCAACCUCACCUCCUGAGCUCAAACAAUCCUCCCUCUUUAGCCUCCUGAGUAACUGGGACUACAGGGGCGCAUCACCACAUCCAGUGAAUUUUUUAAAUUUUUUUGUAGACACAGGGUCUCACUAUGUUGCCCAGGCUGGUCUCAAACUUCUGGGCUCAAGCAAUCCUCCCACCUUAGCCUCCCAAAGUGCUGGAAUUAUAGUUGUGAGCCACUGUACGUGGCCUAAAACAUUUUUUAGUGGACACAGUGUUCAUUUGUGUGGCUAUUUGUUUUACCAACAUUUAAUUAUGAAAACUUUCAAAUAUACAGAAAAAUUGAGAGAUUUGUACAGUGAAAACACAUCUAUUUGCCACCUCAAGUCUAUAAUCAACCUUUUACUAUAUUUGCUUUAUCACAUAUCUAUUCCUCUAUCCAACUUGCUCUUUUAAAUACAUUUCAUCCUAUUCAACAUAGUACUGGAAGUCCUAGCCAGAGUAAUCAGUCAAGAGAAAGGGAAAAAAGGCAUCCAAAUAGGAGGAGAGGAAGUCAAGCUAUCUCUCUUUGCAGAUGAUUUUAUACCUAGAAAACCCCAUAGUCUCUGCCCAAAAGCUCCUAGAUCUAUAAACAUCUUCAGCAAAGUUUCAGUAUACAAAGUCAAUGUACAAAAAUCAGUAGCAUUUCUAUACACCAACAACAGUCAAGCUGAGAGCCAAAUCAUGAAUGCAAUCCUAUUCACAAUAACCACAAAAAAUACCUAUUAAUACAGCUAACCAAGGAGGUAAAAAAUCUGUCCAACAAGAGUUACAAAACACAGCUGAAAGAAAUCAGAGAUGACACAAACAAAUGGAAAAAUAUUCCAUGCUCAUGGACUGGAAGAAUCAAUAGUGUUAAAAUGCUCAUACUGCCCAAAGCAAUUUGCAGAUUCAAUGCUAUUCCUAUCAAACUACCAAGCACAUUUUCACAGAAUUAGAAAAAAAAAUAUUCUAAAAUUCAUAUGGAACCAAAAAGAGACCAAAUAGCCAACACAAUCCUAAGCAAAAAGAACAAAGCUGAAGGCAUCAUACUACCUGGCUUCUAACUAUACCAUAAGGUUACAGUAACCAAAAUAGCAUGGUAACAAAAACAGACACACAGACCAAUGGAACAGGCUUAAGAACCCAGAAAUAAAGCCACACACCUAUAAUUGUCUAUCUUCAACAAAGUCAACAAAAGCAAUGGGGAAAGUACUCCCUAGUUGCUGGGAUAACUGGCUAGCCAUGAUUGAAACUGGAUCCCUUCCUUUCACUAUAUACAAACAUCAACUCAAGAUGGAUUAAAGACUUAAAUGUAAAACCUAAAACUAUAAAAACUCUAGAAGAAAACAUAGGAAAUACAUUCUGGACAUAGGCCCCGGAAAAGAUUUUAUGAGAAGACACCAAAAACAAUUGUAACAACAUCAAAAAUUGAUAAAUGGGAACUAAUUAAACUAAAGAGCUUCUGUACAGCAAAAGAAACUAUCAACAGAGUAAACAGAUAACCUAGAGAAUGGGAGAAAUAUUUGCCAACUAUACAUCCACAAAAGUAUAAUAUCCAGAAUCUAUAAGGAGCUUAAAUCAAUAAGCAAAAACAAACAACCCAAUUAAAAAUGGGCAAAGGACAUGAACAGACGCUUCUUAAAAGAAGACAUAUAUGUGGAAAAACCAUAUGAAAAAAUGUUCAACAUCAUUAAUCACUAGAGAAAUGCAAAUCAAAAUAAUAAUGAAAUACCAUCUCACAUCCAUCAGAAUGGCUAUUAAAAAGUCACUGGGUACAGUGGCUCAUGCCUGUAAUACCAGCACUUUGGUGGUUGAGGUGGGAGGAGUUCAAGACCAGACUAGGCAACACAGUGAGACCCCAUCUCUACAAAACAAAAUUUUU